CUGGCUCAGGAUUAACGCUGGCGGCGUGCCUAAUACAUGCAAGUCGGAUGGUUAGCUUGCUAACCAUGGCGAACGGGUGAGUAACACGUAGGUAACCUGUCUAAGACACGAGGAUAACCAUUGGAAACGAUGGAUAAUACUGGAUAGGACAUUUGGAGGCAUCUUUGGAUGUUUAAAGAUUUAUCGGUAAUAGAGGGGCCUGCGGCGCAUUAGCUAGUUGGCGGGGUGAAGGCCCACCAAGGCGAUGAUGCGUAGCCGGACUGAGAGGUUGAACGGCCACAAUGGGACUGAGAACGGCCCAUACUCCUACGGGAGGCAGCAGUAGGGAAUUUUCGGCAAUGGGCGGAAGCCUGACCGAGCAACGCCGCGUGAACGAAGAAGUAUUUCGGUAUGUAAAGUUCUUUUAUUUGGGACGAAAAAUUAAAAUUGACUGUACCAAAUGAAUAAGCUCCGGCUAACUACGUGCCAGCCGCUGC
rnacentral:rRNA from 1 species